AUCACGUCUCUGACAGACUCCAUGCAGCGCCAGGCUAAGAUCACGUCUCUGACAGACUCCAUGCAGCGCCAGGCUAAGAUCACGUCUCUGACAGACUCCAUGCAGCGCCAGGCUAAGAUCACGUCUCUGACAGACUCCAUGCAGCGCCAGGCUAAGAUCACGUCUCUGACAGACUCCAUGCAGCGCCAGGCUAAGAUCACGUCUCUGACAGACUCCAUGCAGCAUCAGGCUAAGAUCACGUCUCUGACAGACUCCAUGCAGCGCCAGGCUAAGAUCACGUCUCUGACAGACUCCAUGCAGAACGUAGAGCAGAAGAAGAGACCGUUAGAGGAGACCUAGGACUCCCUCGUGGAGGAGGUUCAGGCUCCACACACACAGGCUGAGAAACGCAGAGACCCCCAAACACAAACAAGCCUGUCAUCAAUCAUUACGUCACUUGAAACAAUGUUGCUUGCUUUGUCUCCAUAAACAAAAUGAAGGAGGUGCAUGUGAUGGAUAAACAGAAGGAGCACCUGACCAAACUGCAGGAUGCAAUAGAGAUGAAGAAGAGCCUAGAGGAACAGAUGGAGAACCAUAGAGAGGUCCAUCAGAAGCAGCUGUCCGAGAGAUGAGAUGGACCACAAGCAGAGGGUCUUGGAGGAGCUCAAGGAUAGCAGGUGGUAGCUGGUUUUUCCUGUUGGACGUACACAUCUCCUCUCCGUUCUGGACCUGAACCCACACGGAGUCUUGGAUACUCUCUUUCUCUAUGGAUCUGAUUUUCUAACCACUGGGAACAAUCCUCCUCUCCUUCUCUCACCACUCUGCCUUUACUGGGACUUCAGACUGCUCAUUCCCAAACAAACACUCUGUACGCCAGAUAUCCUUAUUAAGGUCUCCUCUCCUCAUGGCCAAGAGGAAAGAGAGGCUCCUUAAUUCUGAAAGUUCUUUUCAUCUCUAUCUCCUCCUUGAAUCGCUCUUACUCUACCUCUGUGUCUGGUGCUCUCUCUCUUUCUCUUUAUCUCUCGUUCUGUCUUUUUCUUUCUCUCUGAGUGAAAUUGUGUAAUGAGCUACUUUACUGUAUGUUGUUGAGGAUGCUGUCUCUCAUUAUUUACACAACUUUGAUAUCGGCUAUUUAUUUUGUACAUUUUAUUUAUGCAACAUUGAUGUUAGUCAUUUGAAAAUUUGCUUUGACAAUAUCACACACCAGUGAAGUAACAUGAAGAGUUCAUGAUCAGAGAUGACUAAUCUACUCUAUAUAUACAGUAUGUUUCUCAUGUUUUUGAGAAGCACAUGGGUGAGAUACAGAACAACUAUCUCCUUGUGAACUUUUAGAAUUCCAAUUAUGUAUCCAAUAUGUGUUUAAUCAUUGUCCAGCUACAGGAGCAACAGUCUAAAACUGCAUUGGUUAGAACCUUGAAUUUCUUCUUAGGUUUCAGGGGGAGUUGAAUCUUUUAAUAUGUGUCACAUGCAAACCCGAGUCGAAAUACUUGAAUGAGGUAAUACGAAGCCAAAUCUGAGGGAUCGUACAGCUUAGGAAAAUAUUAAAAUGUAAGGAAUUAGAACUAAAAGAUGGUCAUUCUAUUCCUUCCUUUGCUGGGUUUCCUGUUGGGGUUUUUAGACUAGAUCGUUUCACAUACCAGGCUGGUGUUUAAAGCAGAGUGCAUUGUGAAUAACUGACCUUUUGUAAAUGAAGGUAUAGGAUCACGUACCAAAAAGAUGAUUGAAUACCUGUGGUAUUCCGAAGUUGAUGAGAUGAUGAGACCUGUGAUUGGUUGGUUCUGCCAUGAUGCUGAUCAUCCAAUCAGCACAUCUUGCAGUGUAUGGGUUGUCUGAACUGGAGUAUAUGAGUUAUAGGAUUUAUUAGGGAUUUCAUGUUUGGUCUUUUUGGAUUUACGCUCUCCCCUCGAAAGAAGUAACGCAAUCAGAAUGGUUUAUAAAUGAUAAAUGGUUGUCAUGGUUUUCACUGGUCUAUUUCCUCCACAUCACUUGUCCACUUGUGAUCCACUUGUAUUCACAGUGCUAAGUGAUAGUCAAACAAAUGUUGAUGUAGAUAUAGGCUCUCGCUAAUGUACCAAAUGAAGUGCUUUGUUGAUAUCCAUGCUUUGUUGAUAUCCAUGCUUUGUUCAUAUCGAUGCUUCUUUCAUUCUAGUUCACAAAGCCAAGUAUUUUUCUGAACUUUGUACGAGGUUUAAAACAAAAAGGCAGUCUGAAAUAGCCCACCACAUUAUGCUGUUGUGAAACAGCAUCUUUAAACAGGGUAGAUGGCAUUCUUUCACCCUUCAUUCUUACUUCCUGGUGAAAGUCAUCAAUUUAUUUAUGUUCCUGGUUUGAUGUCUUAUAAAUAUGAUUGACCUGUCCUUAAGGUAUUAAUUAUCAUGAUGACUGAAUGAUGACUGCUGUCUUCUGUCAAAAUACUGAGCUAAAUGUCAUUUCCUGUUUUUAAUUUCAUUUAUCUGAUCGCCUCUCUCGCUGUCUCUCUCUGUCUCUCUCUCUCUCCAAGUGUCUUUGGGCACUGUUAGAAGGCCUAACUCUUUGUAUGAUUGAUAGGUUUGUAAAGCAAGUGUUUCUGAGGCAACAAUGCACUGCAAGUGUUUCGUGACUGAGACAGGGGAACAUGUUGAUCAGACGGUUUUCCACGGUUAAAGAGAAGCUAUACAGUUGAAGUGGGAAGUUUACUUACACUUAGGUUGGAGUCAUUAAAACUAGUUUACAUACACUUAGGUUGGAGUCAUUAAAACUAGUUUACAUACACUUAGGUUGGAGUCAUUAAAACUAGUUUACAUACACUUAGGUUGGAGUCAUUAAAACUAGUUUACAUACACUUAGGUUGGAGUCAUUAAAACUAGUUUACUUACACUUAGGUUGGAGUCAUUAAAACUAGUUUACAUACACUUAGGUUGGAGUCAUUAAAACUAGUUUACUUACACUUAGGUUGGAGUCAUUAAAACUAGUUAACAUACACUUAGGUUGGAGUCAUUAAAACUAGUUUACAUACACUUAGGUUGGAGUCAUUAAAACUAGUUUACAGACACUUAGGUUGGAGUCAUUAAAACUAGUUUACAUACACUUAGGUUGGAGUCAUUAAAACUAGUUUACAUACACUUAGGUUGGAGUCAUUAAAAGUUGUUUUUCAACCACUCCACAAAUCUCUUGUUAACAAACUAUAGUUUUGGCAAGUCGGUUAGGACAUCUACUUUGUGCUUGACACAAGUCAUUUUUCCAACAAUUGUUUACAAACAGAUUAUUUGACUUUUAACUUACUGUAUCACAAUUCCAGUGGGUCAAAAGUUUACAUGCACUGAGUUGACUGUGCUUUUAAACAGCUUGGAAAAUUCUAGAAAAUUAUGUCAUGGCUUUAGAAGCUUCUGAUAGGCUAAUUGACAUAAUGUGAGUCAAUUGGAGGUGUACCUGUGGAUGUAUUUAAAUGCCAACCUUCAAACUCAGUGCCUCUUUGCUUGAUAUCAUGGGACAAUCAAAAGAAAUCAGCCAAAACUUCAGAAAAAAUAAUUGUAGACUUCCAUAAGUCUGGUUAAUCCUUGGGAGCAAUUUCCAAAUGCCUGAAGGUACCACGUUCAUCUGUACAAACAAUAGUACACAAGUAUAAACACCAUGGGACCAAGCAGCCGUCAUACCGCUCAGGAAGGACAUGCGUUCUGUCUCAUAGAGAUUAAUGUACUUUGGUGUCACACUCAUGCUGGAGGAAACAGGUACAAAAGUAUCUAUAUCCACAGUAAAACGAGUCCUAUAUCGAUAUAACCUGAAAGGCAGCUCAGCAAGGAAGAAGUCACUGCUCCAAAACCGCCAUAAAGUCAGACACCGGUUUGCAACUGCACAUGGGGACAAAGAUUUUUUGGAGAAAUGUCCUCUGGUCUGAUGAAUCAAAAAAUAGAACUGUUUGGCCAUAAUGGCCAUCGUUAUGUUUGGUGGAAAAGGGGGAGGCUUGCAAGCCGAAGAAUACCAUCCCAACCGUGAAGUACGGGGGUGGCAGCAUCAUGUUGUGGGGGUGCUUUGCUGCAGGAGGGACUGGUGCACUUCACAAAAUAGCAUCAUGAGGCUGGAGAAUUAUGUGGAUAUAUCGAAGCAACAUCUCAAGACAUGAGUCAGGAAGUUAAAGCUUGGUCACAAAUGGGUCUUCCAAAUGGACAAUGACCCCAAGCAUAUUUACAAAGUUGUGGCAAAAUGGCUUAAGGACAACAAAGUCAAGGUAUUAAGAGUUGCCAUCACAAAGCCCUGACCUCAAUCCCAUAGAAAAUGUGUGGGCAGAACUGAAAAAGUGUGUGAGAGCAAGGAGGCCUACAACCUGACUCAGUUACACCAACUCUGUCAGGAGGAAUGGACCAAAAUUCACCCAACUUAAUGUGGGAAGCUUGUGGAAGGCUACCUGAAACGUUUGACCCAAGUUAAACAAUUUAAAGGCUAUGCUACCAAAUACUAAAUUAGUGUUUGUAAACUUCUGACCCACUGGGAAUGUGAUGAAAGAAAUCAUAUCUGAAAUAAAUAAUUCUCUCUACUAUUAUUCUCACAUUUCACAUUCUUAAAAUAAAGUGUUGAUCCUAACUGACCUAAAACAGGGAAUGUUUUACUAUGAUUAAAUGUCAGGAAAAACGGAGUUUAAAUGUAUCUGGCUAAGGUGUAUGUACACUUCCGACUUCAACUGUAUAUAGCAGUCUGUUUUCUCAUCACAUGCAAUCGAUAGAUGUCCAUCACCAUAUGUUUCUGUCCUGUACCUAUUGGCUACCACAACUGUUCUUUCUGGUCAAACUUGUGCAGGUGAUGACUGCAUGGUGUAAAACUCAAAUAUCAGAUGUCAAGAUGUUUUUUUUAUUUUUAAGAUGACACUGAACAAGUAUAUUGUUAGCAAACAAUAGCCAAAGGCUACUUAUUUACAUUGGCCUACAUAAUAAUAUUGGACCUAGACUGAAUGAACCCUUUGUUUCAGACAGAAUAAAAAAACGGA